GACGAACGCUGGCGGCGUGCUUAACACAUGCAAGUCGAACGGAAAGGCCCUGCUUUUGUGGGGUGCUCGAGUGGCGAACGGGUGAGUAACACGUGAGUAACCUGCCCUUGACUUUGGGAUAACUUCAGGAAACUGGGGCUAAUACCGGAUAGGAGCUCCUGCUGCAUGGUGGGGGUUGGAAAGUUUCGGCGGUUGGGGAUGGACUCGCGGCUUAUCAGCUUGUUGGUGGGGUGGUGGCUUACCAAGGCUUUGACGGGUAGCCGGCCUGAGAGGGUGACCGGCCACAUUGGGACUGAGAUACGGCCCAGACUCCUACGGGAGGCAGCAGUGGGGAAUAUUGCACAAUGGGCGGAAGCCUGAUGCAGCAACGCCGCGUGCGGGAUGACGGCCUUCGGGUUGUAAACCGCUUUCGCCUGUGACGAAGCGUGAGUGACGGUAAUGGAUAAAGAAGCACCGGCUAACUACGUG
rnacentral:rRNA from 1 species